rnacentral:sRNA from 1 species
GGCUGCUGCUGCGGAGAAUUGGAGAUGGGGACCGCCCUGGACAUCAAGAUUAAAAGAGCGAAUAAAGUUUAUCACGCCGGGGAAGUGCUCUCUGGCGUGGUGGUCAUAUCGAGUAAGGAUUCAGUCCAGCACCAAGGAGUGUCUUUGACCAUGGAAGGAACUGUAAACCUCCAGCUCAGUGCCAAAAGUGUGGGUGUGUUCGAAGCUUUUUAUAAUUCUGUUAAGCCUAUCCAGAUUAUCAACAGCAACAUAGAAAUGGUGAAGCCAGGGAAGUUUCCCAGCGGCAAAACAGAAAUCCCUUUUGAAUUUCCUCUGCACGUGAAGGGUAACAAAGUUCUGUAUGAGACGUAUCAUGGCGUGUUUGUCAACAUUCAGUAUACACUGCGCUGUGACAUGAAGCGGUCUCUGUUGGCCAAGGACUUGACAAAGACCUGUGAAUUCAUCGUUCACUCCGCUGUAAGCUUCACUCGGGGACUCUGGUGCUUAAUGACAGGAAUCUCCCAUGGGGUCUGAGAUUUUACCCUAU